CGCCGACCACACCCCCAAAUCACUGACAUCACAUCGAACACGCCCCCAAAUCACAGUGAUGUCAUCGCACUGACCACGCCCAGAAAUCCCAGUGACGUCAUCACACUGACCACGCCCCCAAAUCCCAGUGACGUCACAUCAACCACGCCCCAAAAUCCCUGUGAUGUCAUCACACCGACCACGCCCCCAAAUCACAGUGAUGUCAUCACACUGACCACGCCCCCAAAUCCCAGUGACGUCACAUCAACCACGCCCCAAAAUCCCUGUGAUGUCAUCACACUGACCACGCCCACAAGUGAUUCCUCCUAGUGAUGUCAUCACCCUGACCACGCCCCCAAUAAACCCCAAUGACGUCAUCACAUUGACCACGCCCACAGCCGCCAUUUUGCUCCACCACCUUUUAUUUCCCAGGGGCCUCCCCUGGGCCCCGCCCCCGCCCCGGUCACUGCUGUGGUCACUCUGGUGGUCACUGGGGUGGUCACUGUGGUCACUCUGGUCACUCUGGUGGUCACUGGAGUGGUCACUGUGGUCACUGUGGUCACUCUGAUGGUCACUCUGGUCACUGUGGUCACUCCAGUGGUCACUCUGGUCACUCUGAUGGUCACUCUGGUCACUCUGAUGGUCACUGUGGUCACCCCGGUGGUCACUGUGGUCACUCUGAUGGUCACUGUGGUGACUCCAGUGGUCACUCUGGUCACUCUGAUGGUCACUCUGAUGGUCACUUUGGUUACUCUGGUGGUCACUGUGGUCACU
rnacentral:lncRNA from 1 species